rnacentral:rRNA from 1 species
UCGAGGAUCUUCGUCAAUGGGCGAAAGCCUGAACGAGCGAUGCCGCGUGUGCGAUGAAGGCCUUCGGGUUGUAAAGCACAAAAGAGAUGAGAAAGGGCAACUUGAUCGAAUCUCAGUAAGCUCGGGCUAAGUUCGUGCCAGCAGCCGCGGUAAGACGAACCGAGCGAACGUUGUUCGGAAUCACUGGGCUUAAAGGGCGCGUAGGCGGGUGGUUAAGUCUGUUGUGAAAUCCUCCAGCUCAACUGGAGAACUGCAAUGGAUACUGGUCAUCUCGAGGAAGGUAGGGGUAUGUGGAACUAUCGGUGGAGCGGUGAAAUGCGUUGAUAUCGAUAGGAACUCCGGUGGCGAAGGCGACAUACUGGACCUUUUCUGACGCUGAGGCGCGAAAGCCAGGGGAGCAAACG